rnacentral:rRNA from 1 species
UUCCAGACUCCUACGGGAGGCAGCAGUGGGGGAUAUUGGACAAUGGGGGAAACCCUGAUCCAGCGACGCCGCGUGAGUGAAGAAGUAUUUCGGUAUGUAAAGCUCUGUCAGCAGGGAAGAAAGAAAUGACGGUACCUGACCAAGAAGCCCCGGCUAACUACGUGCCAGCAGCCGCGGUAAUACGUAGGGGGCAAGCGUUAUCCGGAAUUACUGGGUGUAAAGGGAGCGCAGACGGCAGUGCAAGUCUGGAGUGAAAGCCCGUGGCUUAACUACGGGACUGCUCUGGAAACUGCGGCGCUGGAGUACGGGAGGGGCAGGCGGAAUUCCUGGUGUAGCGGUGAAAUGCGUAGAUAUCAGGAGGAACACCGGCGGCGAAGGCGGCCUGCUGGACCGUGACUGACGUUGAGGCUCGAGAGCGUGGGGAGCAAACAGGAUUAGAUACCCCCGUAGG